GAGUCAGUAUGGUGUAGUGGUUUGAGCAUUGGAUUUCAGCUCUGGAGAGCAGGGUUCAAAUCCCUGCUCACCCA
rnacentral:tRNA from 1 species